GAUGAACGCUGGCGGCGUGCCUAAUACAUGCAAGUCGAGCGAACAGACGAGGAGCUUGCUCCUCUGACGUUAGCGGCGGACGGGUGAGUAACACGUGGAUAACCUACCUAUAAGACUGGGAUAACUUCGGGAAACCGGAGCUAAUACCGGAUAAUAUAUUGAACCGCAUGGUUCAAUAGUGAAAGACGGUUUUGCUGUCACUUAUAGAUGGAUCCGCGCCGCAUUAGCUAGUUGGUAAGGUAACGGCUUACCAAGGCAACGAUGCGUAGCCGACCUGAGAGGGUGAUCGGCCACACUGGAACUGAGACACGGUCCAGACGCCUACGGGAGGCAGCAGUAGGGAAUCUUCCGCAAUGGGCGAAAGCUUGACGGAGCAACGCCGCGUGAGUGAUGAAGGUCUUCGGAUCGUAAAACUCUGUUAUUAGGGGAGAACAAAUGUGUAAGUAACUAUGCACGUCUUGACGGUACCUAAUCAGAAAGCCACGGCUAACUACGUG
rnacentral:rRNA from 1 species